UGCAGCCAUGCCGCGUGUGUGAAGAAGGCCUUCGGGUUGUAAAGCACUUUCAGUAGGGAGGAAAGGUAGCAGCUUAAUACGCUGUUGCUGUGACGUUACCUACAGAAGAAGGACCGGCUAACUCCGUGCCAGCAG
rnacentral:rRNA from 1 species